GGAGGGGUGGCUGAGUGGCCGAAAGCACUGGUCUUGAAAACCAGCGAGUCG
rnacentral:tRNA from 1 species